rnacentral:lncRNA from 11 species
GGCAGCCCUGGGCUCAAUGGCAGCCGGGCCAAGAGAACCGGGGCCCUGGACUCAUCGGAUCCAUUUACUGCUGAAACAUACUUGAAAUAUUAUGUCAUCCAUGACAAAGACUAAUGUUGCCAAUGAAAAACAGCCAAGUGUGAGACAUGUUCUGGAAAUGUGAUAGCCAGGAAUAAACUGGGACAAAGUCAGCCAAAUGCAUGACAUGAAUGUGAGAAAAAUUAUAUGCAUCUUCUGGAGGCAUGAUAUAACUUGGAGAAAACUGACAAAGGAUCCAGAAUUUUAUUUUAUUGGCAGUAACAUUCUGAGUGGGGUUCCAAUUCAGAAAACUUUCAACAGUGGAAAAGGAUGGGAGUGGGACUCAAAUGAAGAAGAGCUGGAGGAGAAGACAAGAAGAACAUGGAAUAAUAUAAGAAGAUACUACCAUUAGGUUUUAAAUUAGAUGACAAUAUUAUUCCUCUUUUUGUUACAGAUGAUAUAUGGAAUUUGCAAUAUUUUAAUACUUUAAGUAAUGUGUGUGUAAGGGUAAUAGCAAUGAAAAAUUAGAUGUAACAACUAUAAUUUUGUACAAUAUCUUUCCCUCCAUCUCCUCAACCCCCCUCCCUGUCCCCAGGGACAGACUAGAUAAUUGUAAAGAGCUAACCUACUAACAAUAACUUAAUUACCCCACCCUCCCUUUUUUUUCCUUUUUACCCAACUGUUUCAUUUUCUCCUCUUGUGUACAAAAAACUGGAAA